rnacentral:rRNA from 1 species
GGAAUAUUGGUCAAUGGGCGAGAGCCUGAACCAGCCAAGUAGCGUGCAGGAUGACUGCCCUAUGGGUUGUAAACUGCUUUUAUGCGGGGAUAAAGUUCAGCACGUGUGCUGUUUUGUAGGUACCGCAUGAAUAAGGACCGGCUAAUUCCGUGCCAGCAGCCGCGGUAAUACGGAAGGUCCGGGCGUUAUCCGGAUUUAUUGGGUUUAAAGGGAGCGCAGGCUGAUUGUUAAGCGUGACGUGAAAUGUAGCCGCUCAACGGCUGAACUGCGUCGCGAACUGGCAGUCUUGAGUGAGUACGACGUCAGCGGAAUUCGUGGUGUAGCGGUGAAAUGCUUAGAUAUCACGAAGAACCCCGAUUGCGAAGGCAGCCUUCCAGUCCGUUACUGACGCUAAAGCUCGAAGGUGCGGGUAUCGAACA